UACGAGGGGUCCAAGCGUUGCUCGGAAUCAUUGGGCGUAAAGCGGGUGUAGGUGGCUUUGUAAGUCAGGAGUGAAAGCCCUGGGCUCAACCCAGGAAGUGCUUUUGAUACUGCAAAGCUUGAGUGUGGGAGAGGAUCGUGGAAUUCCAGGUGUAGUGGUGAAAUACGUAGAUAUCUGGAGGAACACCGGUGGCGAAGGCGGCGAUCUGGCCCAACACUGACACUCAGACCCGAAAGUGCGGGGAUCAAACAGG
rnacentral:rRNA from 1 species